AAACCAUUCAUCCAGUUUAAUUUAUUGCGGCGUGUAUUAUCUGAUUUCAUUUACAACACUGAGUUAUUUGAGCAAUAAACUAUCAUUAAAUUUCAAUCGGAAUUAUUUUAUUAUCAGUAAAUAAGGUCCGAAUAUCUUAUUUCAAAACGAUAAUUGUACUUUUUUGCCAGAUUGAAAUCAGCUUGACAGAAGUAUCAAAUUAUAAUCCUGAAUUGUCACGAACAGAUUUAUUAUCAAUAAGGUAAAUCUCUAUCACGAAGGCAUUAUGAGAAAUACUUAAAAUACGAGUAUUCUGCUUCCGAGCAGUCAGUUGAAAAUUAUUAUUAUCCUUUAUACGAAUAAACUGCUUCUGAGCAGCUAAUUUUUAAAUCAAU